rnacentral:rRNA from 1 species
AUUGAACGCUGGCGGCAGGCCUAACACAUGCAAGUCGAACGAGUGGCGGACGGGUGAGUAAUGUCUGGGAAACUGCCUGAUGGAGGGGGAUAACUGCUGGAAACGGUAGCUAAUACCGCCUACCAUCAGGUCUGCCCAGAUGGGAUUAGCUAGUUGGUGGGGUAACGGCUCACCAAGUGGACGAUCCCUAGCUGGUCUGAGAGGAUGACCAGCAACAGGGGAACUGAGACGUGGUCCAGACGCCUACGGGAGGCAGCAGUGGGGAUUAUUGCACAAUGGGCGCAAGCCUGAUGCAACCAUGCCGCGUGUACGAAGAAGGCCUUCGGGUUGUAAAGUACUUUCAGCUGGGAGGCGUUACCCGCAGAAGAAGCACCGGCUAACUCCGUGCCAGCAGCCGCGGUAAUUC